rnacentral:lncRNA from 1 species
UGGUCACAGACUCCCUUUACUUCCUUAAAUGUCACAUUCUGCUUGGAGUGUCUCAUGCCAUAAAACACAUGGCUAGGAAGCCUCACCUAUUAGCACUUCUGAGAACUCUAUUUCAGGAUUCAUGUUGCCUUUGAGCACAGGCUGGGAGACAUGGAAGGAAAAUACCCAGGAGAUGUAUGCUCUCAAUUGUACAUAGAAUUCUGGUUUCCUUCCUCAAUCUAUUUGCUACUGCUUACUUUUCAGAGUUCUCCAAAGUUCUAUGCAUUUUGUCCAGAGUUUUUGGUUCCAAUCAAUGGGAGAAACUGCGUGAUAUGUGUUUAUUCCAUCUUAACUAAAAUCAGAGUCCUCAGGAAACAGUUUUUCAGGGUGUUGUAUUGCAUUCAACCCCUGUGGCACGUGAUUAUCCACAAAUAGUAUGUACAGAAACUUUAGAUUGGAUUAACUAGA